rnacentral:rRNA from 1 species
GAGCUAAUACAUGCGAACAAGCUCGACUCACGGAGAGAUGCUUUUAUUAGAUCAAAACCAAACAGACACGUCUGUAUAUUUGGUGACUCGGAAUAACUUUGGGCUGAUCGCAUUGCCUUGUGCAGGCGACAUUUCCUUCGAAGGUGUGCCCUAUCAACUGUCGACUGUGGUAUAGACGACCACAGUGGUUUUGACGGGUAACGGGGAAUCAGGGUUCGAUUCCGGAGAGGGAGCCUUAAAAACGGCUACCACAUCCAAGGAAGGCAGCAGGCACGCAAAUUACCCAAUGAACGAAGUUCGAGGUAGUGACGAAAAAUAACAAUACAAGACUCUUCCGAGGCCUUGUAAUUGGAAUGAGUACACUUUAAAACCGUUCCCGAGGAUCUAUUGGAGGGCAAGUCUGGUGCCAGCAGCCGCGGUAAUUCCAGCUCCAAUAGCGUAUAUUAAAGUUGUUGUGGUUAAAAAGCUCGUAGUUGGAUUUAGGCGGGUAUUGGUCGGUUUGAAUUGCUUCAAUACUGACUUUUUUACCCGUGUGUUUUGCCAGAAUUUAACGGGUGAUCUUCGCCGAUUGUCUGUUAGAACUGGCAGGUUUACUUUGAAAAAAUUAGAGUGCUCAAAGCAAGCUUGAUUGCUUGAAUAUUCGUGCAUGGAAUAAUGAAAUAGGAAGUCGUUUCUAUUUUGUUGGUUUUCGGAAAUCGACCUAAUGAUUAAUAGGGACAGUCGGGAGCAUUUGUAUUCAAACGACAGAGGUGAAAUUCUUGGACCGUUUGAAGACGAACUACA